rnacentral:rRNA from 1 species
CCUACGGGAGGCAGCAGUGAGGAAUAUUGGUCAAUGGGCGCGAGCCUGAACCAGCCAAGUAGCGUGAAGGAUGACUGCCCUACGGGUUGUAAACUUCUUUUAUAAAGGAAUAAAGUGAGGCACGUGUGCCUUUUUGUAUGUACUUUAUGAAUAAGGAUCGGCUAACGCCGUGCCAGCAGCCGCGGUAAUACGGAGGAUCCGAGCGUUAUCCGGAUUUAUUGGGUUUAAAGGGAGCGUAGAUGGGUUGUUAAGUCCGUUGUGAAAGUUUGCGGCUCAAACGUAAAAUUGCAAUGGAUACUGGCAGUCUUGAGUACAGUUGAGGUAGGCGGAAUUCGUGGUGUAGCGGUGAAAUGCUUAGAUAGCACGAAGAACUCCGAUUGCGAAGGCAGCUUACUAACCUGCAACUGACAUUGAUGCUCGAAAGUGUGGGUAGCAAACAGGAUUAGAUACCCUUGUAGUC